AACAGUGAAGACAUCAGGAAAAAAAAAAUAAGAAAUGAUAAACCUUUUUUUUUUUCCUUUGCCUUCUCAG
ensembl:miRNA Mir7116 microRNA 7116